GGAGGAGGCAAGCGUUAUCCGGAAUUAUUGGGCGUAAAGCGUCCGCAGGUGGCUUCUCAAGUCGGCGGUAAAAGGCUGGGGCUUAACCCCAGACGAGCCGUGGAAACUGAGAAGCUAGAGUGCGGUAGGGGUAGAGGGAAUUCCCAGUGUAGCGGUGAAAUGCGUAGAGAUUGGGAAGAACACCGGUGGCGAAAGCGCUCUACUGGACCGCAACUGACACUCAGGGACGAAAGCUAGGGGAGCGAAAGGGAUUAGAUACCCCUGUAGUCCUAGCUGUAAACGAUGGAUACUAGGCGUGGCUGGUUUUCACCCCAGCCGUGCCGAAGCCAACGCGUUAAGUAUCCCGCCUGGGGAGUACGUGCGCAAGCAUG
rnacentral:rRNA from 1 species